UACGUAGGGUGCGAGCGUUGUCCGGAAUUAUUGGGCGUAAAGGGCUUGUAGGCGGUUUGUCGCGUCGGGAGUGAAAACCCAGGGCUUAACCCUGGGCUGGCUUCCGAUACGGGCAGACUAGAGGUAUGCAGGGGAGAACGGAAUUCCUGGUGUAGCGGUGAAAUGCGCAGAUAUCAGGAGGAACACCGGUGGCGAAGGCGGUUCUCUGGGCAUUACCUGACGCUGAGGAGCGAAAGUGUGGGGAGCGAACAGG
rnacentral:rRNA from 1 species